rnacentral:rRNA from 1 species
AUGCAUGUCUAAGUUCAGCUCUGAAAAGUGAAACCGCGAAUGGCUCAUUAAAUCAGUUUUGGUUCAUUUGUUUGAUAAUCUUUAUAUGAAUAACUGCGGUAACCCUGCAGCUAAUGCAUGCUAAACGCUUUGCUCCGGCAUUGACACUUUUACUAUACUAUCAGUACGCUCCGGACAGGAGUCUCGGAAGAUGAAUCUGAGUAAUUGACGGACCCCAAAUGGCCAAGACCAGGGGGCGAUGCAUUCGAAUAUCUGCCCUAUCAACUUCUGACGGUAGUGUAACGGACUACCGUGGUUGUGACGGGUAACGGGGAAUCAGGGUUCGAUUCCGGAGAGGGAGCCUGAGAGACGGCUACCACUUCUAAGGAAGGCAGCAGGCGCGCAAAUUACCCAAUCCCGGAACGGGGAGGUAGUGACGAAAAAUAACAAUAUGAACUCUUACGAGUUUGUAAUUGGAAUGGAUGGAGCUUAACACACUCCAUGAGGAUCUAGUAGAGGGCAAGUCUGGUGCCAGCAGCCGCGGUAAUACCAGCCUCUACAAGCAUAUGCAAAAGUUGCUGCGUUUGAAAAGCUCAUAGUUGGAUCUGUCGAGUGUGUGGAUUACCGGGUACUGAACAGUUCGGCUGCAGGAACCGUACCGCAUAUUCGUCUUUUUGUUGAGUGGGUUUGCACUUAACUGUGUCGAACCGACGGGACGGAAAGUUUACCUUGAGUAAAUUAGAGUGUUCAAGGCAUCCUUUGGGAUUGAAUAAUAAAGCAUGGAAUAAUGGAGGAAGACCGCUCUCUAAAUAGCUGGUUGCUGGAGAUGCGGUAAUGAUUAAAAGGAACAGUCGGGGGCAUUUGUAUUGCUACGUUAGAGGUGAAAUUCUUGGAUCGUGGCAAGACAAACUACUGCGAAAGCAUUUGCCAAGAAUGUUUUCAUUAAUCAAGAACGAAAGUCAGAGCAUUGAAGAGGCUUAGAUACCCUCGUAAUUCUGACCAUAAACGAUACCUACUUACGAUUUGUCAAAGUCCUGCCUGACUUGACAGGGAGUUAACCGGAAAACCAAAGUGUUUUGGCUCCGGGGGAAGUAUGGUUGCAAAAUCGAAACUUAAAGGAAUUGACGGAAGGGCACCACCAGGAGUGGAGCCUGCGGCUUAAUUUGACUCAACACGGGGAAACUCACCAGGUCCAGACAUCGAAAGGAUUGACAGAUUGAAUAUCUUUCAUGAUUCAAUGGGUGGUGGUGCAUGGCCGUUCUUAGUUAGUGGAGUGAUCUGUCUGGUUAAUUCCGAUAACGAACGAGAUCCUGGCCAUUUAAAUAGAAGUGAUAACUUCGGUUGUCAUAUGCUUCUUAGAGGAACUAUGUGGAAGAUAUACCACAAGGAAGUGGGGCUAUAACAGGUCUGUGAUGCCCUUAGAUGUCCUGGGCUGCACGCGCGCUACACUGCAUGCUAUGAAGUGAGGUGUUACCUUGUCCGACACGGUCCGGGUAAUCACCUAAAAGCAUCAGACAUGAUGGGAAUGGACUCUUGUAAUUAGUAGUCCUGAACGAGGAAUUCCUAGUAAAUUCAAGUCAACAGCUUGAAUUGAUUAUGUCCCUGCCCUUUGUACACACCGCCCGUCGCUACUACUGAUUGGAUGAUUAAGCAAGAACUUUUGAAGCUUGCAGUCUUGACUUCGGUCGAGUCAGUGAGUGGAAGAAGAUCGAGCUUAUUUGUCUA